GGGGGCAGGUGAGGGGAGAGAGAGAGAGAGAGAAAGAGAGAGAGAGAGAGAGGAAGGUAAGCAAGAAAUCUGUAAAGCUGAAAGGGAUCACCAAGAGGGCAGGGACUUAAUCUUGUUAAAUUAGUUCCUUAACUGCAUCCUAUGACAGCAAUACUUUUUCUUUCUUUCUUUUUCUGUGACAGGAAUUCUUGAUUCAGGUUUCAUAGGUUUGUAGGGUUGGUAACCCGAAACUACAGACACAUUUCGUGCUCAUGUGACUUUGGCAAAAGGGAUCAUGGCCAAGGAAGGAAGCGACAAGCUGAUUACCAGUGUCACCCUCACCAACCCCCACCCAGCAAAGGUACCCAGGCAAACCUUCUGUUUCCAGGGCUCCCAGGGUUGCUAGUCUUGCAGCUUUCAAUCCAAGUCCCAAGUAACU